AUUGAACGCUGGCGGCAUGCCUUACACAUGCAAGUCGAACGGUAACGGGCCUUCGGGUGCCGACGAGUGGCGAACGGGUGAGUAAUGCAUCGGAACGUACCUUUCAGUGGGGGAUAACGUAGCGAAAGUUACGCUAAUACCGCAUAUUCUGUGAGCAGGAAAGCAGGGGAUCGCAAGACCUUGCGCUGAUUGAGCGGCCGAUGUCAGAUUAGCUAGUUGGUGAGGUAAAAGGCUCACCAAGGCGACGAUCUGUAGCGGGUCUGAGAGGAUGAUCCGCCACACUGGAACUGAGACACGGUCCAGACUCCUACGGGAGGCAGCAGUGGGGAAUUUUGGACAAUGGGGGGCAACCCUGAUCCAGCCAUGCCGCGUGAGUGAAGAAGGCCUGGUGUAAG
rnacentral:rRNA from 1 species